rnacentral:rRNA from 1 species
CGAGGGGCAGCGGGGUUGUAGCAAUACAACUGCCGGCGACCGGCGCACGGGUGAGUAACACGUAUGUAACCUGCCCUCUGCAGGGGGAUAAGCGGAAGAAAUUCCGUCUAAUACCGCAUAAUACAAUUUGGAGACAUCUCCGGGUUGUCAAAGGAGUGAUCCGGCAGAGGAUGGACAUGCGGCGCAUUAGCUAGUCGGCGGGGUAACGGCCCACCGAGGCUACGAUGCGUAGGGGUUCUGAGAGGAAGGUCCCCCACACUGGUACUGAGACACGGACCAGACUCCUACGGGAGGCAGCAGUGAGGAAUAUUGGUCAAUGGGCGGAAGCCUGAACCAGCCAAGUCGCGUGAGGGAAGACGGUCCUAUGGAUUGUAAACCUCUUUUGCAGGGGAGCAAGGCGCGGUACGUGUACCGCGAAGGAGAGUACCCUGAGAAAAAGCAUCGGCUAACUCCGUGCCAGCAGCCGCGGUAAUACGGAGGAUGCGAGCGUUAUCCGGAUUUAUUGGGUUUAAAGGGUGCGCAGGCGGACUGUUAAGUCAGCGGUAAAAUGUCGGUGCUCAACACCGGCCGGCCGUUGAAACUGGCAGCCUUGUGUGAGCGAGAAGUAUGCGGAAUGCGUGGUGUAGCGGUGAAAUGCAUAGAUAUCACGCAGAACUCCGAUUGCGAAGGCAGCAUACCGGCGCUCAACUGACGCUCAGGCACGAAAGCGUGGG